AUUCCUUGUAUGAAGGCUAUAUUCUCCUGACAGUGAAUACAGGUCUCUUGCCAUCCAUUCGCAAUUCUAAUCCUACCGUUAGAAUUCUUUCAAAUUCCUAAAUAAGCUACUUCCUCCUAGUUCUGCUAUCGGCUGCUUAUUCGAUUUCCGCGCCCUGCUUUACGGCGUGAUUCCUGUUCGAAAUUCACAGCAGACGUCCGUUCCCCCUACCAAUCUUCCUAGCCGCCUUCGGUGCUCCGCUAACGCUAGUACGAUUGAUGCAACCCGUCAGGUUUAAGUAGGGGUCUGCCACGCGGGUAGCUGGCACUGCAUACGAAGUACUUUUACCGCCGAAAGGUGAGAUCCUUUGACGUCGGCGAGGCGGAAAACAUUAGCUGGCAACUAGUGCCAAGAGCAUCAGCAGCAGUUUCGUGAGUACCAGUACGAUUAUUAACUUCCGCUACAGUUCUAGCACAGGUUUCUUUCGUAUAUGUUCACGCAAGCACGAGCGCACUUAUCUGGCACAGACUGGUCGCGCUUCUGGGUCAGCCUGUCUCUGUAUUUUUGGCAAUGACAACGACGUGUGAAAUUGCCAGCUAGAAUACCAAGGAAGAGAGGGACAGAGAGUGUAGUAAAUUUAGUAGGCGAACGAGAGUGGCAUUGGGGGACGAUACAGGCUAACCGAGAACAACGCAUUAUAGCAUUGUCAUACCCCAGCCGGCGACAGCGGGAAGGGAGCAAACGUCACAGAAAUAGCGCUUUAACCGUUCCCGACGAUAGAGAAAUGAAGGUUCGAAAAAACGUACGUGGAAAAAAACAGUUCUAACCCCUCCCACUUACGCCUCUCACAUAAAUGGUUUCGCGGAAAUUUUACGCUAUUCAUGCAACAAAAACAACGGCGGAACGUAACAGUUUUUCUUUUCCUGCAUUUAACUCGACGCCGGUACGAUCUCAGGGUAAAAUACGAAAUCUCAUCGUUGUGGUAUUGAUAGAAGUGACAACAGUGGUUGCUAUGGCAAUCGACGCACACCGACGUGAUACUUCAGUCCAAUGCGCCACCAACGAUGUCCAGCGAUAGAAAGCUGCAGAGCUGUACAGCUAUGGAGACGAACAGAAUAAUAACAACAGAUGCAGCGCAACAACGACGAUGGCUUCUGGUAUAAAUAUCGGCCGGUAGCCUUGGCCUCGAUGGUGUCGUGGGAGAAGGCGAAAACUAGCAGAAGCCUGCAGUGCGAAUGAUGUACGACAUUCGUUGCUUCCCUGUAGUCUCGCAAACGAACGAGGCUCCGAUAGUUACCACCUGUUCUAGUCAAUGGGGUCAUUACAACAAUUUUAUGAUGUCACAUGACCCGGAUGCGAAUGAAAACCACCCAGAAGGACUAGACGGGGCGAAGGGGUCUCCUAGGAGAGAAAAAGGCAAACAUUUCUUACUGCUGCAUAUGUUUGCCUGCUGUGAGCCCAUGUUUCCCUACAAAGGUGGCCUUAUUGCUAUUACCUAGAGGUUAAAAAUAGUCAACGCGGCUCUACGGGGAGAUCAAGAAUAGCCACCUAAGCCCGCAUUAUGCGAUGACAUACACAGCUGCUUUGGUACGAGACGUUGUCGACGCGCGCCAAUAGAGAAGUCGUUUGCGUUUUGCCACUCGAAAACGAACUGUUUACCAGAGGCUUCCGGUAUAAGAAACGGAACAGAUCUCGAGGGGAAGGUGGGCGUUCGAUGGCGGGUGAAACGUUCUCGCCAAUGCACAGGCGAAAGGUAACGGAUAUCGCUGGCGGUACCACAACGCUUUCAUGACCAUUGCACUGCGCAGGAUUCCACGAGCAUGGGGGGUAAUUAUGGUCAUCUAGAAGGGAACAGCUUUCUUCUUUACCAGUGGUUCUUAUCCAUUGUUCGUGGCAGACUACUGCGAGACACAAAUAUACGGGUUAGGAUUACGCGCAAGUAAGCCGAAAGUGCUAAAGAAAUUAACAGGGUAUCACGGCGGCAUGUUUUUUUCCAUGACCUACCUUUUGUGUUUAAAAGAAAAGUAAAAUGUAUAAAAAUGGUUUUAAUACAGU
rnacentral:lncRNA from 1 species